rnacentral:rRNA from 1 species
UACGUAGGGUGCGAGCGUUUAAUCGGAAUUACUGGGCGUAAAGCGUGCGCAGGCGGUUCGUUAUGUCUGAUGUGAAAGCCCCGGGCUCAACCUGGGAAUGGCAUUGGAAACUGGCGAGCUUGAGUGUGGCAGAGGGGGGUGGAAUUCCGCGUGUAGCAGUGAAAUGCGUAGAGAUGCGGAGGAACACCGAUGGCGAAGGCAGCCCCUGGGCUAACACUGACGCUCAGGCACGAAAGCGUGGGGAGCAAACAGG